GGAAAUAAUACAGCUCAGUGGUAGAGCAUCUGCUUUGCAAACAAGAGUCACCAGGUUCAAUCCCCAGUAUCUUCA